rnacentral:lncRNA from 1 species
AAUAAAUGGGGAAGGUAAAAAGUUUAAGGGGGUGUAACGUUCGUCUCCAACGGCUCCUUAACGUUCACCUAGUCUGAAGGGCGUUACGCUCGUUACAGGUGCAUGACGGACGUCACAGGUACUUAGCGUGACGUCCGUGACAGACUGUGUGACGCUCGUCACACUGUCUGUUUGGCAAGGUUUCAGCUAGCGUCCUUCAGAGUGACUGGUAAGUUAUUAUAUAUUAU